rnacentral:rRNA from 1 species
UACGUAGGGUGCAAGCGUUGUCCGGAAUUAUUGGGCGUAAAGAGCUCGUAGGCGGUUCGUCGCGUCGGCUGUGAAAUCCCGAGGCUCAACCUCGGGUCUGCAGUCGAUACGGGCGGACUGGAGUUCGGCAGGGGAGACUGGAAUUCCUGGUGUAGCGGUGAAAUGCGCAGAUAUCAGGAGGAACACCGGUGGCGAAGGCGGGUCUCUGGGCCGAUACUGACGUGAGGAGCGAAAGCGUGGGGGAGCGAAACAG